AGCAGCCGCGGUAAUUCCAGCUCCAAUAGCGUAUAUUAAAGUUGUUGCAGUUAAAAAGCUCGUAGUUGAAUUUCGGGAUCAGAGUGUCGGUCGUGCCUCGGUACGCACUGGUAUUAUUGGUUCCUACCUUCUGAAGAACCGCGAUGUCAUUAAUUUGGUGUCGUGGGGAAUCAGGACUGUUACUUUGAAAAAAUUAGAGUGUUUAAAGCAGGCUUACGCUUGAAUACAUUAGCAUGGAAUAAUGAAAUAGGACGUUUGAUUCUAUUUUGUUGGUUUCUAGGAUUGACGUAAUGAUUAAUAGGGAUAGUUGGGGGCAUUAGUAUUCAAUUGUCAGAGGUGAAAUUCUUGGAUUUAUUGAAGACUAACUACUGCGAAAGCAUUUGCCAAGGAUGUUUUCAUUAAUCAAGAACGAAAGUUAGGGGAUCGAAGACGAUCAGAUACCGUCGUAGUCUUAACCAUAAACUAUGCCGACUAGGGAUCGGAUGAUGUUAAUUUUUUAAUGACUCAUUCGGCGCCUUACG
rnacentral:rRNA from 1 species